GUUCGGUAUAAGAGGAGCUGGCGGUCUGUCUUUAAACAGUUAUUGCGUUUAAAAGAGAACGAGGGGAAGCGCGGGAGAAGUGAAAUGCAGGGAGACAGGUGCUGGCAAAGAGCAAGCGAAUGAAACAUGAGCUCUGCAGAUGCCUGAAGCCUCUCCUGUCAGGAUGGAGAGAUCGGACUGAGAGGGAAACAGGAGAGAGCAGCUCCAUCAGGGUACCGCUGUCUGACUGAAAUCUGGAAAAGAAGCGGCACUUGUACAGCA
rnacentral:lncRNA from 1 species